GUCUGCGGCCUAUCAGGUAGUAGUGGGUGUAGCGUACCUACUAGCCUACGACGGGUACGGGUUGUGAGAGCAAGAGCCCGGAGAUGGAUUCUGAGACACGAAUCCAGGCCCUACGGGGUGCAGCAGGCGCGAAAACUUUACAAUGCUGGCAACAGCGAUAAGGGAACCUCGAGUGCCAGGUUACAAAUCUGGCUGUCGAGAUGCCUAAAAAGCAUUUCAUAGCAAGGGCCGGGCAAGACCGGUGCCAGCCGCCGCGGUAACACCGGCGGCUCGAGUGGUAACCGUUAUUAUUGGGUCUAAAGGGUCUGUAGCCGGCCGGAUAAGUCUCUUGAGAAAUCUGGCAGCUUAACUGUCAGGCUUUCAGGAGAUACUGUCUGGCUCGAGGCCGGGAGAGGUGAGAGGUACUUCAGGGGUAGGGGUGAAAUCUUGUAAUCCUUGAAGGACCACCAGUGGCGAAGGCGUCUCACCAGAACGGACCUGACGGCAAGGGACGAAAGCUAGGGGCACGAACCGGAUUAGAUACCCGGGUAGUCCUAGCCGUAAACGAUACUCGCUAGGUGUCGGCCACGGUGCGACCGUUGUCGGUGCCGUAGGGAAGCCGUGAAGCGAG
rnacentral:rRNA from 1 species